CGGGACGGGUGAGUAACGCGUGGAUAACCUGCCUCACACUGGGGGAUAACAGUUAGAAAUGGCUGCUAAUACCGCAUAAGCGCACAGUACCGCAUGGUACGGUGUGAAAAAACCCAGGUGGUGUGAGAUGGAUCCGCGUCUGAUUAGCCAGUUGGCGGGGUAACGGCCCACCAAAGCGACGAUCAGUAGCCGACCUGAGAGGGUGACCGGCCACAUUGGGACUGAGACACGGCCCAA
rnacentral:rRNA from 1 species